UGCAUCCUUAUAAAAUGUCUUUUUCAUUAAUAUAGACUGCUGAGGUUAGAUGUGAAGCCAAGCAGAACAUCCAGUAAGUCAAAUCUAAAUCUCUAAGCUACACAAGUAUGAUUUCAUUGUAAUUCAACAUCAAGUAACACUGCUACUGUAAUUAUUACAGAAAAACAAACUGCACUGUGCUGCUACAGCUGAGCCAACCUGUUAAUAUGUGCAUCCUCCGAAGGCUGGUGCAAAACGGGACUGUAAACCCAUCAAUCCAGAUCCAGCUUCUGGGAGAUGUAGAAAGAGUGGGUAAAGGCUUGUGCCCAGAGGACAAUAAGUCGCCCCCUGGAGAUGGUUUAGUGCACUGCACAUCUCUAAUGUCUUAUGAUGAUUUCUGCAAGACCCAAGGGCCUGUCAGUGUCACAUGUUCUUAUAAGGAAAAUGGCUUUGUUCCUAAAGACUUGAUUGCUAAUCAAUCCUGCAACGGUGAGUGUUAUUACUCUUUGGAUUUACUUUCGUCCUCAUUUUCUGACUAAUACCAGUAUCAUAUUCAAAAAUGAAAUUUUGUUUUUUUAGUUGAGAACCAACAACAUUGUGAGUGUCAUGUGUCUACCAACAACGGUGAGUGGAACAUAAUUGUUCUAUGUAAGAGUAGGUAGAAGCAUGUGUCAUGGACCAAUCAGACACCAAGCUCUCUCUCCUACCUCUCUUUUAGAGACAUAUUAUGCUGUUCGUCUAAAUAUUAGAAGCCCAGAUGUGAAUUUCUCCUACAUUCAGAACAUGGUGAGUUUUUAGAGAAACGGUUCUUGCAAACAGGUAAAAUGCCUUUAGUAAGUCUUUUACCGAAACAUUGCUAUAUAAAGAUUGGC
rnacentral:lncRNA from 12 species